rnacentral:snRNA from 1 species
AUGUGUGUCCCUUUCCAAACUGCUAGCUUGGUCAAAGAGGAUGUCCAUCCCCCACAGAGGAGGACUGGUCUUCAGUCAAGGGUAUAUAAAUAGCUGUGCUCCCCUGCUAAAACCUCCAAACGAGCUCUUGUAAAAAGCGCCUUCAUAAGAACCAAAAAUCAGGUAAGAACUCAGAGUACCUGGUUCUAACUUCAUAUGACCAAAAGAGGCACGGAAGAGGGUAAGAAAGAGAGUCUUGAAUUGCUGAU